AGCCCGGAGAUGGACACUGAGACAAGGGUCCAGGCCCUAAGGGGCGCAGCAACCGCGAAACCUCCACAAUGCACUCACGUGCGAUGGGGCUAUCUCGAGUGCCACCUGAUGAAGGUGGCUUUUCCUAGGUCUUCAAAGCCUUGGGAAUAAGAGGGGGGCAAGACUGGUGUCAGCCGCCGCGGUAACACCAGCCCCUCGAGUGGUGGGGAUGAUUAUCGGGCAUAAAGCGUCCGUAGCCGGCCGAGCAAGUCCUCCGUUAAAUCCAGCGUCUCAAGCGUUGGACCGCGGGAGAUACUACACGGCUAGAGAGUGGGAGAGGUCAGCGGUAGUCUGGGGGUAGGGGCGAAAUCCUUUGAUCCCCGGAGGACCACCAGUGGCGAAGACUGCUGACUAGAACACGUCUGACGGUCAGGGACGAAAGCUGGGGUAGCGAACCGGAUUAGAUACCCGGGUAGUCCCAGCCGUAAACGAUGCAUGCUAGGUGUUGGGUUGGCCACGAGCCACCCCAGUGCCGCAGGGAAGCCGUUAAGCAUGCCGCCUGGGAAGUACGAUCGCAAGGUUGAAACUUAAAGGAAUUGGCGGGGGAGCACAAUCG
rnacentral:rRNA from 1 species